rfam:Triticum aestivum genome assembly, contig: Triticum_aestivum_CS42_TGACv1_scaffold_439415_5DL
UACAUACUCCCUCUGUUCGGAAUUACUUGUCCAAGAAAUGAAUGUAUCUAGAUGUAUUUUAGUUGUAGAUACAUCCAUUUUUGUGAAAGUAAUUCCGAACGGAGGGAGUACUAC